rnacentral:rRNA from 1 species
UACGUAGGGGGCAAGCGUUGUUCGGAAUUACUGGGCGUAAAGGGCGCGUAGGCGGCCUUCUAAGUCAGACGUGAAAUCCCCAGGCUUAACUUGGGAACUGCGUCUGAUACUGGAGGGCUUGAGUGCGGGAGAGGGAUGUGGAAUUCCAGGUGUAGCGGUGAAAUGCGUAGAUAUCUGCAGGAACACCCGUGGCGAAAGCGGCGCGCUGGACCACUACUGACGCUGAGGAACGAAAGCUAGGGGAGCAAACAGG